ACUGCUCAGUAACACGUGGACAACCUGCCCUUAGGUUGGGUAUAAACCCGGGAAACUGGGUAUAAUACCCGAUAGGUCUCGAUUGCUGGAAUGCAUCGAGAUUUAAAGCUCCGGCGCCUAAGGAUGGGUCUGCGGCCUAUCAGGUAGUAGUGGGUGUGGCGUACCUACUAGCCUACGACGGGUACGGGUUGUGAGAGCAAGAGCCCGGAGAUGGAUUCUGAGACACGAAUCCAGGCCCUACGGGGUGCAGCAGGCGCGAAAACUUUACAAUGCUGGCAACAGCGAUAAGGGAACCUCGAGUGCCAGGUUACAAAUCUGGCUGUCGAGAUGCCUAAAAAGCAUUUCAUAGCAAGGGCCGGGCAAGACCGGUGCCAGCCGCCGCGGUAACACCGGCGGCUCGAGUGGUAACCGUUAUUAUUGGGUCUAAAGGGUCUGUAGCCGGCCGGAUAAGUCUCUUGAGAAAUCUGGCAGCUUAACUGUCAGGCUUUCAGGAGAUACUGUCUGGCUCGAGGCCGGGAGAGGUGAGAGGUACUUCAGGGGUAGGGGUGAAAUCUUGUAAUCCUUGAAGGACCACCAGUGGCGAAGGCGUCUCACCAGAACGGACCUGACGGCAAGGGACGAAAGCUAGGGGCACGAACCGGAUUAGAUACCCGGGUAGUCCUAGCCGUAAACGAUACUCGCUAGGUGUCGGCCACGGUGCGACCGUUGUCGGUGCCGUAGGGAAGCCGUGAAGCGAGCCACCUGGGAAGUACGGCCGCAAGGCUGAACUUAAAGGAAUUGGCGGGGGAGCAC
rnacentral:rRNA from 1 species